rnacentral:miRNA from 1 species
GCAGACACAUUACAGCCAAUCAGCAGCAGACCCUCCCUCCCAGACCCUUCCACCUCCUGGACAGCAUUCAUUUUACAUUCAUUGUGAAGCUGCAUUCUUAGUGAGCUGUCCAGGAGGUGGGAGGGUCUGGGAGGGAGGGUCUGCUGCUGAUUGGCUGGAAUGUGUCU